rnacentral:rRNA from 1 species
CUGGCUCAGGAUGAACGCUAGCGGCAGGCUUAACACAUGCAAGUCGAGGGGCGAGCGGGAUGUAGCAAUACAUUGCCGGCGACCGGCGGAUGGGUGCGUAACGCGUAUGCAACCUACCUAUACAGGGGAAUAACCUUUCGAAAGGGAGACUAACACCCCAUAGUAUUGAUUUAAGGCAUCUUAGAUUAAUUAAAUAUUUAUAGGUAUAAGAUGGGCAUGCGUAUGAUUAGCUAGUUGGUAAGGUAACGGCUUACCAAGGCGACGAUCAUUAGGGGUUCUGAGAGGAAGGUCCCCCACACUGGUACUGAGACACGGACCAGACUCCUACGGGAGGCAGCAGUGAGGAAUAUUGGUCAAUGGGCGCAAGCCUGAACCAGCCAUGCCGCGUGCAGGAAAGACGGCCUUAUGGGUUGUAAACUGCUUUUACAUAAGACUAACCGUAUAUUUGCGAAUAUACCUGAAUGUAUUAUGAGAAUAAGGAUCGGCUAACUCCGUGCCAGCAGCCGC